rnacentral:rRNA from 1 species
AUUGAACGCUGGCGGCACGCUUAACACAUGCAAGUCGAGCGGUAGCAGGUCUAGUUUACUAGAUGCUGACGAGUGGCGGACGGGUGAGUAACGCGUAGGAAUUUCCCCUAGAGCCUGGGAUAACUUGAGGAAACUUGAGCUAAUACCGGAUGAACCUUACGAGGUAAAGAUUGCUUUCGGGCAGUCGCUGUAGGAUGAGCCUGCGUUAGAUUAGCUAGUUGGUGGGGUAAUGGCCUACCAAGGCGACGAUCUAUAGCUGUUCUGAGAGGAAGAUCAGCCACACUGGGACUGAGACACGGCCCAG